rnacentral:rRNA from 1 species
GACGAACGCUGGCGGCGUGCUUAACACAUGCAAGUCGAACGAUGAAGCCGGAGCUUGCUCUGGUGAAUUAGUGGCGAACGGGUGAGUAACACGUGAGUAACCUGCCCUUGACUCUAGGAUAACUGCGGGAAACUGUAGCUAAUACCGGAUACGACCCUCGGAGGCAUCUCCUGGGGGUGGAAAGAAUUUCGGUCAAGGAUGGACUCGCGGCCUAUCAGCUAGUUGGUGAGGUAAAGGCUCACCAAGGCGACGACGGGUAGCCGGCCUGAGAGGGUGACCGGCCACACUGGGACUGAGACACGGCCCAGACUCCUACGGGAGGCAGCAGUGGGGAAUAUUGCACGAUGGGCGCAAGCCUGAUGCAGCAACGCCGCGUGAGGGAUGACGGCCUUCGGGUUGUAAACCCCUUUUAGCAGGGAAGAAGCGAAAGUGACGGUACCUGCAGAAAAAGCACCGGCUAACUACGUGCCAGCCGCCGCCGUAA